UCGCAUGAAGCAGUGUGAAAAACUCCGGUGGUAUGAGAUGGACCCGCGUCUGAUUAGGUAGUUGGUGGGGUAACGGCCCACCAAGCCGACGAUCAGUAGCCGACCUGAGAGGGUGACCGGCCACAUUGGGACUGAGACACGGCCCAAACUCCUACGGGAGGCAGCAGUGGGGAAUAUUGCACAAUGGGGGAAACCCUGAUGCAGCGACGCCGCGUGAGUGAAGAAGUAUUUCGGUAUGUAAAGCUCUAUCAGCAGGGAAGAAAAUGACGGUACCUGACUAAGAAGCCCCGGCUAACUACGUGCCAGCAGCCGCGGUAAUACGUAGGGGGCAAGCGUUAUCCGGAUUUACCGGGUGUAAAGGGAGCGUAGACGGCGCGGCAAGUCUGAAGUGAAAGCCCGGGGCUUAACCCCGGGACUGCUUUGGAAACUGCCAUGCUAGAGUGCUGGAGAGGUAAGUGGAAUUCCUAGUGUAGCGGUGAAAUGCGUAGAUAUUAGGAGGAACACCAGUGGCGAAGGCGGCUUACUGGACAGUAACUGACGUUGAGGCUCGAAGGCGUGGGGAGCAAACAGGAUUAGAUACCCUGGUAGUCCACGCGGUAAACGAUGAAUACUAGGUGUCGGGGAGCAAAGCUUUUCGGUGCCGGCGCAAACGCAAUAAGU
rnacentral:rRNA from 1 species